rnacentral:rRNA from 1 species
UUAAUUGAAGAGUUUGAUCAUGGCUCAGAUUGAACGCUGGCGGCAGGCCUAACACAUGCAAGUCGAGCGGUAGCACAGGGAGCUUGCUCCUGGGUGACGAGCGGCGGACGGGUGAGUAAUGUCUGGGAAA